GCAAGACCCUGUCAAGAAAAAAAAAAAAAAAAAAAAAAAAAAAAGACAAACAAAAAACCUUCUUGACUCCAGACAGGAUUCGGAUCAUGUACAGAGAAACAGCAACCAGAAUGCAACUUUCUCAGUUUCUUGAAACUUCUUUCUUGACCGUUAAAGGAAAUAUAUUAUGCUAAGGAGAAAUAGAUGAGUCUUGCAUGUAAUCCUUGCAGAGUCACAAUGGAAGGAGUCUAGUGGCUCCAUGGUCACAUGUGAAUCCCGUGUACCCUACGAGGACAAGAUUAUGGUUGCCAAAUAUGUCCCCACAGUAGAGGUUAUCUCCUGUGUCCAGCACUCUGGAGCCUGUCCUGUGUCUACCUAUCAUCUUCAUUCUGUAUUGUAUUGCGG
rnacentral:lncRNA from 1 species